UGGGGGAUAUUGCACAAUGGGCGCAAGCCUGAUGCAGCGACGCCGCGUGGGGGAUGAAGGCCUUCGGGUUGUAAACUUCUUUUGCUCUGAACAAGGCGCACUUUGGGGUGUGUUGAGUGUAGGGGAUGAUUAGCGCCGGCUAACUACGUGCCAGCAGCCGCGGUAAUACGUAGUGCGCGAGCGUUGUCCGGAAUUAUUGGGCGUAAAGGGCUUGUAGGUGGCUGGUUGCGUCUGUCGUGAAAGCUCAUGGCUUAACUGUGGGUUUGCGGUGGGUACGGGCUGGCUUGAGUGCAGUAGGGGAGGCUGGAAUUCCUGGUGUAGCGGUGGAAUGCGCAGAUAUCAGGAGGAAUACCGGUGGAGAAGGCGGGUCUCUGGGCUGUUACUGACACUGAGGAGCGAAAGCAUGGGGAGCGAACAGG
rnacentral:rRNA from 1 species